UACAGAGGGGGCAAGCGUUAUUCGGAAUCAUUGGGCGUAAAGCGCGCGUAGGCGGCCAGAUAAGUCCGGUGUGAAAGUCACAGGCUCAACCUGUGAAUGCCGCUGGAAACUGUCUGGCUUGAGUCCGGAAGGGGCGAGUGGAAUUCCUGGUGUAGCGGUGAAAUGCGCAGAUAUCAGGAGGAACACCAAUGGCGAAGGCAGCUCGCUGGAACGGUACUGACGCUGAGGCGCGAAAGCGUGGGGAGCGAACAGG
rnacentral:rRNA from 1 species